AAUAUUAUGUCUGAAAAAGAAGUAAAUUGUAAAUUUAUUAAUAAAGAUUAAAAUUCUUUUAAUAUUA
rnacentral:tRNA from 1 species